AUAGCUUCUCAGCCUUUUUGGCUAAGAUCAAGUGUAGUAACAUUUGGGAAUUUGAGAAAUAUUUUUUACUAAGUGAAACUGUACUUAAAUAUAUUUAAAGAAACAGUAUGUCAAGAGCUGUUUUCUUAAUAUACUUACCUCU
rnacentral:snRNA from 1 species